rnacentral:rRNA from 1 species
UACGUAGGGUGCAAGCGUUGUCCGGAAUUAUUGGGCGUAAAGAGCUCGUAGGCGGCUUGUCGCGUCUGCCGUGAAAACCCAGGGCUCAACCCUGGGCGUGCGGUGGGUACGGGCAGGCUAGAGUGCGGUAGGGGAGAUUGGAAUUCCUGGUGUAGCGGUGGAAUGCGCAGAUAUCAGGAGGAACACCGAUGGCGAAGGCAGAUCUCUGGGCCGCUACUGACGCUGAGGAGCGAAAGCAUGGGGAGCGAACAGG